CAGUUCACCCAUCUGAGUCAGACUGAACCUGAGAUCUCAAACUGGCUGAUCUAUCUUUUUAGCCAUGUGUUCUUUGGUCUUUAUGUUUUAUUUAUUAACUUUUUCACCACUAUUUUAAAGCAAGGAGGUUUCCAUGUGAACUUCAGGUCUCUGGCUUCCCUUAGGAAGUCAGAAGCCCAGGAAACUCCCUCAGAGCCAAUUCAGCAGCAAAAGAGCAACAGGGCUCUGAGGAGGGGGUGCCCUCCAAUGCACCCAAUGCCCCACCUACAGGUUCCCCAGGCAGCUGACUUUGUGCCUCAUCCAGACCUGUCUGGUCCCCCCAGAUCCCUUGCAGCUCUAACGUGCAAAGGGAUCUGGGAUCCCAUCAUCUCAGCUGCUGCCCUCUCCCCAAGAGGAUGAGCCCUGCCCACCCACGGUGGCGGGAGGACCUGGGGGCUCAGCCAAGGUGACAGCUCCUCUUCUUCCCACAGCCUGAACUUCUGAAAGAUGUCAUCGGAAAGAUCCUCCACGCUGAGCUGCUGCCAAACCAGAACAGCAAAUUGAGAACUGGGAUCCCUCUGUCAAUCGUGUGUCAGCCUUGAGAUAUGAGGCAGCUCACUGGUCUUCGGCCCAGGAUACCCUCAUGCUGACCCCAGACUCAAACUCCUUCUAGACCCGGACUCUCUGCUCUCCAGUGACAACUUGGAUGGUGGCCACCCAGGCCAGCCCCAAUCGCACCUGGGAGUGUGGGACAAGCCCUGUGUACCGUUCUUUUCUGCAAUCAAUAAACGCUUGCCUGUGGCUCCU
rnacentral:lncRNA from 1 species